ACUUCUACUCUUACUAAAGUACAUGAUCUGAGUACUUCUACUCUUACUAAAGUACAUGAUCUGAGUACUUCUACUCUUAAUAAAGUACAUGAUGUGAGUACUUGUACUCUUACUAAAGUACAUGAUGUGAGUACUUCUACUCUUACUAAAGUACAUUAUCUGAGUACUUCUACCUCCUCUGGGGACCAUGUAAUAUCUAAGAAAGCUCCCUCUGGUUAAAGGUGUGAUAGAAAUUAUAGAAGCACCUUUGAAUAUCUAGUAUUGAUCAGGUCUGAUGAGAUGUCUGAAUAUCUAGUAUUGAUCAGGUUUGAUGAGAUGUCUGAAUAUCUAGUAUUGAUCAGGUCUGAUGAGAUGUCUGAAUAUCUAGUAUUGAUCAGGUUUGAUGAGAUGUCUGAAUAUCUAGUAUUGAUCAGGUUUGAUGAGAUGUCUGAAUAUCUAGUAUUGAUCAGGUUUGAUGAGAUGUCUGAAUAUCUAGUAUUGAUCAGGUCUGAUGAGAUGUCUGAAUAUCUAGUAUUGAUCAGGUCUGAUGAUGAGAUGUCUGAAUAUCUAGUAUUGAUCAGGUUUGAUGAGAUGUCUGAAUAUCUAGUAUUGAUCAGGUCUGAUGAGAUGUCUGAAUAUCUAGUAUUGAUCAGGUUUGAUGAGAUGUCUGAAUAUCUAGUAUUGAUCAGGUUUGAUGAGAUGUCUGAAUAUCUAGUAUUGAUCAGGUUUGAUGAGAUGUCUGAAUAUCUAGUAUUGAUCAGGUUUGAUGAGAUGUCUGAAUAUCUAGUAUUGAUCAGGUUUGAUGAGAUGUCUGAA